UCUCUCUCGGGAGCCGCCGCGGGGCCGAUCUCUCUCGGGAGCCGCCGCGGGGCCGGUCUCUCUCGGGAGCCGCCGCGGGGCCGAUCUCUCUCGGGGGCCGCCGCGGGGCCGAUCUCUCUCGGGAGCCGCCGCGGGGCCGAUCUCGGGAGCGGGGAGGUUCCGUGUUCAGCCUUCAAUCCAGAUUUUCAGUUGAGGCCAUGGAAUCCUCAGUGACAACCUUCUGCAAACACCAGCGCUGGUGACAGUGGGUUUUCUACUUAAGGACCCGAGAGCCAGCAGAGGCCACCGGGAUCGACCACUGCCCAUGAGGGAGAGACACGCCUGGGCUGGGGGAAGGUGUGAUCUUGCACAGCGAGUGCCCAGAGGUGCUGCGGUCCCUGUUGAGAGACACGUGUAUCGAUACAAACGUUUCCUAACAGCUAUUACACCUGGAGCCAGUGAUGAUGGCUUGAUUAAUUCUCAGUGAUUUUUUAUUUCUCCACCUUCCUCCACAUGACUCUUCUGAGUGGUGUGAAGCUACAUAGCAGCAGGUUUUUUGACAGAUUAUAGUCAUGCCUGCAUGGACUGUUAAAAGCAGUCACCAGUGACUUUUCUGUGGUCAGAGCAAGCUCUCAGCAGAAGCAGAAGAGCCCCUUGCACCUAUGGAGAAGGCAGCAAAGCUGUUGACCCAGGAAUCUUAUAGAAGUGGCUGGUAAAGAAGAGGAGGAAUAUGAGCAGAGGUGAUGGAGAAGGAAAUUGAUACUGAUUAGUGUCAGAGUGUGUCCUGGGCAGGAAUAGUCUGAGUGAGGGAAUGUGGAUGGUGUCACUGCACAGUCCUUGAGGGACUCAGGGUCAGAGGCUCUCACUGCAGUGUGUGACACUUCUGCACUUGGGAAUAUCACUGGAACGGGGUACAAUAAAGAAUACUAAAAUAAAUAAAGUAGUCCAAAAUUAUGUUGCUGCUGAA